rnacentral:misc_RNA from 1 species
GAUGAAGAACGUAGCGAAAUGCGAUACUUGGUGUGAAUUGCAAAUUCAGUGAAUCAUCGAGUCUUUGAACGCACACUGCGCCCCCUGGUAUUCCGGGGGGCAUGCCUGUCCGAGCGUCAUUGCUGCCCUCAAGCACGGCUUGUGUGUUGGGCCCCGUCCUCCGAUCCCGGGGGACGGGCCCGAAAGGCAGCGGCGGCACCGCGUCCGGUCCUCGAGCGUAUGGGGCUUUGUCACCCGCUCUGUAGGCCCGGCCGGCGCUUGCCGAUCAACCCAAAUUUUUAUCCAGGUUGACCUCGGAUCAGGUAGGGAUACCCGCUGAACUUAAGCAUAUCAAUAAGCGGAGGA